AUGCUCCAAGCUUGCGCCCAGCCUGACAACAAAGGAUUCAUAACCAUAGAUUGUGGUCUUUCGGAGGAGAUGGGCUAUGUGGACAACACCACCAAGCUCUCAUACGCCCCCGACGCUGGCUUCAUCGAUGCCGACACUGGCACGAACCAUAUUAUCUCACCGGAGUACGUCAUCCCGGCUUUGGCCAAGGUUUGGUACAGUUUGCGUAGCUUCCCAAUUGGCGUGCGGAACUGCUACAUGCUUCGCUCCCUCAUGCCCGGGCUCAAGUACAUGAUCCGAGGCAGGUUCAUGUACGGCAACUACGACGGCCUCGACCAGCCACCAGCGUUUGAUCUCCAUAUCGGCGUCAACUACUGGCACACAUUGAACAUCACGAAGCCGAUUGAUUCGGUGUUCGUUGAGGCCAUCGUCGUGGUGAAGGAGGACUUCAUGCUUGGACCUGAGGCCGUUGAAGAGAAUGCUCUACCCGCAGGUGACCCCGGCGCAGGGUCUCUGGUCCUAUUUGCCAGGCUCAACUUCGGCCCGACCGAUGAGACCUUCCACGUCAGGUAUCCGGAUGAUCCACAAGACCGGAUAUGGAUGUCUUGGGGUGACAACAUGACGUGGAUCAUGAUAUCAACAGCCAGCGGGGUGCAUAACAUAUACAACAAAGGCUCCUUCGAGGUGCCCACGGCGGUGCUGAAGACGGCUAUCAGCCCACGGAACGCCUCGCGGAACUUAGAAUUCAGCUGGCUGCCCGAGCGCACCCCCAUGGACCCGUCCCCAGGGCACAUUAUCAUCCUCCACUUCGCCGAGCUUCAGGUCCUUCCCAGCAAUGCCAUGCGCGAGAUGAACGUCGUGCUCGAAGACAAGCCGUGGUAUACAAGCGGCUUCAGGCUGGAUUACCUCUAUGACAUCGGCUACAACCUCUCCAUCAAGGCCACUGCUAACUCGACAUUGCCACCCAUUGUCAACGCGGCCGAGAUCUUCACCGUACGUCAUCCCCACCACCAACCUUGGCACGGACUCCCAGGAUGUUUCUGCAAUCAUGGCGAUCAAGGCGAAGUAUCAAGUGAAGAAGAACUGGAUGGGUGA
rnacentral:rRNA from 1 species